CAGUCGCCGCGGUAAUGCGUAGGGUGCGAGCGUUAAUCGGAAUUACUGGGCGUAAAGCGUGCGCAGGCGGUGAUGUAAGACCGAUGUGAAAUCCCCGGGCUUAACCUGGGAACUGCAUUUGUGACUGGCGAGCUAGAGUAUGGCAGAGGGGGGUAGAAUUCCACGUGUAGCAGUGAAAUGCGUAGAGAUGUGGAGGGAUACCGAUGGCGAAGGCAGCCCCCUGGGCCAAUACUGACGCUCAUGCACGAAAGCGUGGGGAGCAAACAGGAUUAGAUACCCCAGUAGUCCCUGUCUCUUAUAC
rnacentral:rRNA from 1 species